CUGCCACACCCAUCUUCUACACUGCUGCUUUAAAGAAUUUGAGCGCUGGCCAGCUGGGUAUUGAAGUUGUGCUGCUUCUCGUGGCAUUGGUUUCGCACAGAGAGAGAGAGGGGGAAGAUCAAACACUGAUCAGUGAUAAACUUUGGAAGAUACAAAGGAUGAGAAGAAGAAGCUUAUAGUGUUGGGUGAUGUUUGGGGAGACCUUAAUUUUAAUGAAACUGGGAUACCAUCUGGUGAUCAUUUCAGGAAUUGCAAAAUUCUGUUAACAACACGUCGGGUACCUGUUUGUGAGUCAAUGAACUGCCGACCUAAGAAUCUACUGGAUAUUUUAACUGAAGACGAAGCAUGGGCUUUAUUCCAAACAGCUGCCAACCUGGAGGAUGACUCCACAGCCUUGAGCAAUGUGGCAAAGAGGGUAGCAAAAGAAUGUGGGCGUUUGCCUAUAGCGAUUGUGUCAGUAGCCAAGGCCCUCAGAGGUAAAUCACUUCACGGAUGGGAACGAGCAUUGACAAAGCUUCAAGAGGGUGAAUAUAUAGAAAUUCAAGAUAUGAGUGGAGAAGAAAAUGCUUUUAAAAGCCUCAAGUUUAGUUUUGAUGAAUUGCCACGGGAGGAAACCAAGAGAUGUUUGCUGUUAUGUUCUUUGUAUCCAAAAGAUCAUGAAAUUUGUGUUGAAGAUGUGUCUAGAUAUGCAUUUGGGUUGGGGCUGUAUCAACAUGCACAAUCACUAAAAGAUAAUCUGAGUGAAGUUGUGUACGCAAUUGAUGAGCUCAAAGAUUGCCAUUUGCUGUUGGAAGCUGGAAGUAAAGGACAUGUGAAAAUGCAUGACUUGGUUCGUGAUGUCGUCCUGUUGAUCGGGAAAAGUUAUUCAGCUGCCAGAGAGUCAAGAACAAAGAAGGAAUUCAUUGUGGGUGGCGGUGUUGGGUUUGAAGAGUGGCCAAUGGAUGAAAGAUUCAAAGAUUGUGCAGCUAUUUCCUUGUUAGACAAUGAGAUAGGGAGACUUCUGGAUCAAUUGGAUUCUCCAAGGUUGGAAAUUUUGUUGUUGGCUAGAAGGACAUAUGGUACAGUAGGGUAUUCCAGUUCUGGAGAAGAGUUUACCAAUAUUUUGGAUAAAUCUUUUCAAGGAAUGGAAAAACUUCGGGUUCUAUCUUUAACUCGUGGGAUCUUGUCAAUACAAUCACUAGAAUGCUUAACGAGCCUUCGGACUCUGGAGCUGAGAUAUUGCAAACUCGCCGACCUUGCAUCAUUGCAAAAUCUGAAGACUCUCGAGAUCCUUAGUUUUUUUGGUUCUGAUGUUGGGGAACUACCAGAAGAGAUAGGAGAGUUGAAGAACUUAAAACUGUUGGAGUUAAAUGACUGUUAUAUAGAGAGAAUUCCUUCAAAUUUGAUUCGAAAUUUAUUCAAACUUGAAGAAUUACACAUUGGUCUCUAUGAAGGAUGGGAGGAAAGUACAGACAAUGCUAGCCUGAUGGAGUUGAAUUCACUGCAGCACUUGACGACUCUGUCAGUGACACCACGUAAUGUUAUUCCAGAAAACUUUGUUCUUUCCAAGAACUUGACUGAGUAUCACAUUCACAUCUGUGAUUGUGAGUACCCAAGCUUCCCGUCAAGGCUUAGACAUCCAGCAUCCAGAACCAUAUGCUUCAUUCCAACCGAAGAAACCAUUCGCGUAUGUAAGGAGUUGUUCAGUAAUGUAUAUGAUCUUCGAAUGGAUUACAACCCUGGAAGAUUCAAAAACAUGAUGCCAGACAUGUCUGAAGUGGGCUUCCAAGAUCUAUCUCGCCUUGAUAUUCAUGGUUAUGAAUUGGAAUGCCUUGUUAGUUCUACAAAGCAGAAAAAAAUGGCUGCCAAGGCAUUUUCAAAUUUAGUGGAGCUAAAUAUCAACUUUGUAGGAUCUAUGAGAGAAAUAUGUGAUGGUUUGCCACCAGAGGGGUUCUUAGAGAAAUUACAAAAACUAAUGAUCACUGAAUGUGACAAAAUGAUCACCAUAUUUCCAGCAAAGUUGUUGCGAGGAAUGCAAAAAUUAGAAGGUGUUAAGAUUGAAGAAUGUCAGAAUUUGCAAGAUGUAUUCCAACUGGAUGGAGUGGAAGAUGCAAAAAAGGAGUGCCUUUCACAUCUAACGACGUUAGAGCUGAAAUACAUGGAUGCAUUGAUAUGCAUAUGGAAGGGGCCGACACACCAUGUAAAUCUCAGAAGUCUCACCAGUCUCACUCUUUGGGACUGUGGGAGCUUGAAAUCUGUUAUAUCACCAUCCCUUGCUUAUAGUCUGGAGCGCCUGGAAAAACUUGAUAUAGAAAGUUGUGGUCAACUUGAGCAUAUUAUCUCAGAGAAAGAUGAGGAUGGAAAAGAAACAUUUUCGAAAACUCAUUCUCAACAAGCCUGCCUGCAAAACUUAAAGGAAGUCCAAAUAGAAGACUGCAAGAAAUUGGAAUAUGUCUUUCCUAUGUCAAUUGCUCAAGGCCUUUUGUACCUUGAAGUGUUAAAAAUAUCUGAUGCUGCCCAAUUAAUGCAAGUCUUUGGUAAUGAGGAUGGAAACAUAUUCUCUUACCCAACAGAAUUAGAAUUCCGAGACUCAUCCAAAGUUGGCUAUUUGUUCUCAAGGAAUUGUGCUGUGGUACUGCCAACUUUGCGCCAUGUGGAAAUUCAUAAAUGUCCUCAGUUGUUGAUACAUUCUGUUUUACGAAUUCCUCCAAAGGUACAUUUCAUUAAUUUGCACCAAAUUCUAAAGCUAAAUUCAUUGCAGCCAAGGCUAAUUGUUUUCUUUUCUGAAUAUUGUUAUUUACCAAAUGUCCAAAACUGUUAUUUACCAAAUGUCUAAAAUUUGUAAUUAAUAUAAUUAUUCCCCUAUUUUUGGGCACUUUCAGUUUUCAUGCAUGAAGUUAAAGAAUGUAGAAGUCUCAAUUCUAUUUUGGUAUUAUUUCCCUGUUUCUUCAAAACUUUUUGACACAGGUCUCAACAAAUUCAGAACAGUUGACAGUCGCAGACACUGAAAGUAUAUCAUUGGAAAUUUUGGAUUUAGAAGGAUGCUCGCAAUUGGAGUGCAUCAUUUCUAAGGAAGAUGAUUAUGACAUUGAAAACAAAGAAAUCUCAUUGAACACUCCCUUUCUACCUGUGUGCUUCACUUCCUUGAAAAAAAUUCAGAUCGUUGAUUGCAACAAAUUGAAGAUGCUGUUGCCAAUAACAGUUGCUCGAGGUCUUCCACAUCUAACAGAGCUUCACAUACAAGCGUCCAGCCAAUUAGUGGCAAUCUUUGGAUCUGAAGAUCAAGCAGACAUAAAUAACAUAGAAGAGAUUGUGCUUCCUGAGUUAUUGAAAUUACAUCUAGAACAAUUACCGAGCCUUAUCAGUUUCUGUCCAAAAGAGUAUCAUUUGGUAUUCCCAUCUCUGGAAAUGUUAAGAGUGAAAACAUGUCCUGAGAUGACAACGAGCUUUAGUGCUGCAACGGAUGCUUACGUCCAUGCCAAAUCUGAGGCACUGACACGAGAUACAGCAAUAGGUUCUGCAACAACUCAAAUAAUAGUUGCUCCACAUUCUAAUGGCUCAGACUGGAUUCGUUUGGAAGGAAAAUGGAUGUCCAAAGAAAAGGCUGAAGAGAGAAGAAGAAUUUGAAAGAAGGAAAGUAGUUCAUAACUCUUACCUCUAUUGAUUAAAGGAAUCAUUGUCACAUAAGCAAUAAAUAUUACUUUUUUCCGUACUUAUAUUGUGUAGUACUCUCGGCAGUUAGGAGUUUUGACCGAGUUCCUUCUUCAACUCUAUUAGUUACCUUCAAAAACCAAGCUCCCAUGUUUAAAAUGGUACGGUAAUUAUGAAUUUCAGAACUUUUGGCUGUGGUGUAGUUUGUGCCCGUCCUACUUGGACUUUGUAAUCUUCGUCAUUUUCCAUUGUGCCUUUCAUAGGUUCGUAUUUGAUCUUUGAGAGUUGAGUAUGUCACAGCUCGUCGGAGGAGAGCUUCUUCAUCAUUGAGAAGGAAUUACCUGCAACUAUGAGAUCUGUUCUCUUGACUAUGAUAAGCUUUGUAAGGAUUUGAGUUUGCAGAAGCUGUAUGGACCGCCACCAAAAAAUGGCGAUAAACACCUUCUAUCCCUUAAGAGAGUGCAAGUUUUUGGGCUAAGAUACAAGCUUUUUUUUAUAGGAAGUCUUUCCUGUAAACUGUUGAGACGUUCCUAAAAUUGAAAACUCAGCUAUUUCCUUUUAGUUUUUAUGCAUUAUUAUAAAGUAAUUAUAGAUAUAAAUUUCAAUUUACUGCCAAGAUUUAUAAAUUCACAGGUAUUGACAAGUUAAAUAUUUUUUUUUUAAAUGGAUGAAAUUGCCAAUUCCAAAUAAACACAUGGCGUUGAGACCCAACAGAGCUAACCCAACCGUUUCAGUAACGCUUGAGGCCCAUAACAAAACCCACAUUACGCGAUACCCUCUCAAGCCCAGCCCAAUCCUCCGAAUCCACGUCCUUAUCGCAAUAGAAAUCCAUCCUUACCCAAGCGCCUCUCCGUUGCCCUUUCAUUUGUCAGGGGUUAGGAAUUGUACUUCAAUCCCUUCAUCUCUGGUUUCCGAUUUUCCCAGAUCCAGCCCUCCUUAUCUUCCCUUUUGAGAACGCUAUUAUCAAUAUGAUGCAACAGCCAGGAUCCGGAGUUGUCCCUCAGCAGAUCCCCAUGGAUCAGCAGUAUCAACAACAGCCACCGCCCCAGCAGUGGAUGAUGAUGCAGCAGCAACAGCAGCCUGUUCCACCGCCCUCUGGUUGGACCCCACCACCUCUACCACCCCCGUCUCAGUACGGUGUUCCUCAGACGGUUGCGCAGGGUGGUGCCGGUGUAGAUUCGAACGAGAUCAAGUCAUUGUGGAUCGGAGACUUGCAGCAGUGGAUGGACGAAAAUUAUCUCUACAGCAUCUUCAUCAACACCGGGGAGGUUGUUUCAGCUAAGGUUAUUAGGAAUAAGCAGACAGGCCUCCCAGAGGGUUAUGGUUUCAUUGAGUUUGUUUCUCGUGC
rnacentral:misc_RNA from 1 species